GCUUUUAAAGGAGAACAGAAAUCCACUAAUUUUAGGAAUUAGCACCCCU
rnacentral:tRNA from 1 species